AAAAAAAAAACUCCCAGGACUGACCUGAGCCCUUGGCUCCUCCCAGACCACUCAACCUUAGUCAUAGCCCUCGGAAUCCCCAAUCCCCACAUCUGGCUCAGCCACCCCCGCCCCUCCACGUCCCACCCAGGUCACCGAGGCAGAGGAACUUCUUCAAAAUCUGUUUCAGCAGUCCCUGUCUGGGCCCCAGGCCUCAGUGGGGCUUGAGCUGGUGAGUAGCUCCCAUUCCCUGGGCGCUGGACCUUAGGUGGAUGGGAAGGCUGCGUCCCAGCCAUCAUGACCACAGAGUCGUGCCUCUUCCCCAGGGCAGCGGAGUGACGGUCUCCAGCGGGCAGGGUAUCCCCCCCCCUACCCGGGGGAAUAGCAAGCCGCUUUCCUGCUUCGUGGCCCCGGACUCCGGCCGCCUGCCAUCCAUCCCUGAGAACAGGAACCUAACGGAGCUGGUGGUGGCCGUGACUGACGAGAACAUCGUGGGGCUGUUCGCGGCGCUCCUGGCCGAGAGAAGAGUCCUGCUCACCGCCAGCAAACUCAGCACCGUGAGG
rnacentral:lncRNA from 1 species